AAAUGGGGAUGUGGCUCAGCAGGAGACGGCAGGGGCGGGGAGGCAGAGCCUUCUCCCCGCGCCUCCCACACGGCGGAGCGGGGAGCGAUCCCCUCCUCACCCUCUCCCCUAACUCUGACCCCGGCUCAACUCUCCGGUCUCCCGGGCGGCGGAGGCAGCGCGGCUCAGCCCAACUUUGUCCCUCCAGCAGUGCAGCUUAGGGGCUGGCGAGGCGAAAAGGCCGAGCCGGGGGAUUCUCUCCGGGCGGCGGCGGCCGUGCCUAGAGCCCGCCGAGUGUCGCUGGCAGCGCGGAACAGCCCUCGGUGCCCUGCUGCCGCUGCUCCCCCGUGGUAAUCUCAUAUCUACCCAUUCACCCGUGUGGCGUGUGGAGAACCGGCCCAAGAUGGCGGCGCCCGGGCGAUUGUUUUUGUUUCCUCUCCGCCUC